AUUGAACGCUGGCGGCAGGCCUAACACAUGCAAGUCGAGCGAGCGGCGGACGGGUGAGUAAUGGCUGGGAAACUGCCUGAUGGAGGGGGAUAACUACUGGAAGCGGUAGCUAAUACCGCAUACCAUCGAGCGUGGCCAGAUUGGAUUAGUUGGUAGGUGGGGUAACGGCUUACCUAGGCGACGAUCCCUAGCUGGUCUGAGAGGAUGACCAGCCACACUGGAACUGAGACACGGUCCAGACUCCUACGGGAGGCAGCAGUGGGGAAUAUUGCACAAUGGGCGCAAGCCUGAUGCAGCCAUGCCGCGUGUGUGAAGAAGGCCUUCGGGUUGUAAAGCACUUUCAGCGGGGAGGCGUUACCCGCAGAAGAAGCACCGGCUAACUCCGUGCCAGCAGCCGCGGUAAUUC
rnacentral:rRNA from 1 species